AAGGAGAAGCUCUGGGAACCUGGAUUGGAGUGCGUUUCAGGGGCGUCUCCCUGAAAACCCCAGAAGGAGGCGGCGACGGCUCAGCCUGGGACUGACAGGAGCAUGGGGCGGGAAGGGCGGGUUGCCCCGGGCCUCUUACUCGAGUCUGGCCGGGAAUGGAGUCCAAAGCUUUUCAGCCAAGCCGACGUUAAGCAACAGUCAAGGUAGUUGCAGUGUUAUAAAGAAGUCGCGCGUUUU
rnacentral:lncRNA from 1 species